UACAGAGGUCUCAAGCGUUGUUCGGAUUCAUUGGGCGUAAAGGGUGCGUAGGUGGCGCGCUAAGUCAGGUGUGAAAUUUCGGAGCUUAACUCCGAAACUGCAUUUGAUACUGGCGUGCUUGAGGACUGGAGAGGAGACUGGAAUUCACGGUGUAGCAGUGAAAUGCGUAGAGAUUGUGAGGAAGACCAGUGGCGAAGGCGGGUCUCUGGACAGUUCCUGACACUGAGGCACGAAGGCCAGGGGAGCAAACGGG
rnacentral:rRNA from 1 species